rnacentral:lncRNA from 1 species
CGUAUGACAACUGCCAACCAUAUCUGAAGUCUUAUAUGAGAAAGUCAAAAAUCUCACCACACGCUGUCACUACCAUUGCUAGUUCCAAUAUUCUCACAAAUUAGAAUCAGAAGAUAAAUAGGAAACUAGUAUUUCCUUCAUGAAUGUUUGGAUAAGCACUAGUUACAAAAUUCACGGUCACCUUAAAAUCUAUUACUUGAGCAGCCUGUGCAAACGUUAAAAACCUUUGACUCAUGUUGCUUUAAUUCUGAUCCUCCAGCUAGCAUCAUGCAAGAAUUUUUUUCACUGAACCAACACUAAGCACAUCACAUCAGAUCAUUACAAAAAAUACUUUAAACUGGCAUCACAACUGUUGUAAGACUUUUCCUUUCUUUCCUUUCUGAUUUUUAUGGAACUCGGACAAAGUCCAAUUCUUUUAAUAGCCAAAGCAGAAAAAGAUAUGCCCUCAUGCUGCAAUGUACAUUUUGCUUUGCACAAAAAUAACUUCUAAAAAAUAAACAAAAAGAAUGAACUUCAACAGAACUACUACUAAAAAUAAGUAGCUAUGAUAAGAUUAAGUGGGAAAAAAAAAAACCAACUGAGUAUCUUGGCUGCUGAGCGGCCCUGUAGAAAAACAAGAAGAACAAGCAAAAAAACCAAGCUGCACUCAGCAAAUCCUGCGAUCCAGGGGAAUCGUACAUUUACCUUAUCUUAGCCAUCUCCCUGUGAUUUUAUUACAUAGUAAUUAUACCAUUAUUCAUAUCAUGCUACAAAUGCAUCAGUGCAAGCAAAUUCAAGACUGUAACUUCUAACGUGUGCUGCAAACUGCACAGCAGUUAUGCGACUGCUGACUGAGACCUUAGCUCCUUACACAGCUCCAAGGAGAUACAGUGAGAAAAGAACUGCUACUUUUUGCUUGGCUCCUGGCGUGAAGGGGACAAGACUGCCAGUAAAAGGUAAGGUGUAUUCCACAGAUUCCAGUUCAAGCACAGAACUGGGCAGUCUUUCAGCAAACGUGACUCUGGGACAAGACAAACUGCAACAAGCCCCUCUCGUGCGUUCUUUCAGGUCUGCUCCACUGAGGACCCGAUGGCAGCCCUCCCACAACGCUUCUAGGAAGCCUUCACGCACUUCCUUCUUUGCUUUCCCCACGCCAGCCACGAGCUAG